CCUCGCCGGGUGGAUCACAUCUUUAAUCCUAGCAUUCAGGGGGCAGAGGCAGAAAUAGACACAUCUCUAUGAAUUGAAGGCCAGCCUGGUUUACAUAUCAAGUUAUAUGCUACUCAGUGCUACACAGGGAGAUCCUGACUCAAACAUGAAAAAAACAAAAGUUAUGUAUGAUUGUCCCAUUGAGGGAGAACUGGUGAAAGACACACAAGACUCUGCUGUUUUGGAGCUUCUGAGUCCUGACGCAUGCCCAAAUAAAAGAAAUGUGUUUCUUGAUGAUUACUCAAAAUUCAUAUACAUUUUCCUUCUUUCAGAGCCCAGGAUUACUUCAGAUAAUUAUUUAUUUAACUUGCACCCAAUGAAGACCAACUAUUUCUGUCCAUGUCCAAUCUUUGAUUUUAUUGUCAGAAGUUCUUCAAUUAGAAACCACAAUGUGCUGGUUAGUUUUGUGUCAACUUGACACAAGCUAGAGUCCUCUGGGAAGAGGAAACCUCAGUUGAGGGAUUGCCUCCAUCAGAUGCCGACAGCCAAACCUAUGAGACGUUUUAUUGAUUAAUGAUUGAUAUGAAAGGGUCUAGCCCACUUGGGCAGUGCCACACCUGGUCAGGUGGAUCUGGUUUGUAUAAAAAAGCAAACUAAGGCUGGGUGGUGGUGAUGCAUGCCUUUAAUCUCAGCACUCGGGAGGCAGGGGCAAUCAGAUCUCUGUGAGUUUGAAAAGCAAACUAAGCGAGCCAUGGAGAGCAAGCCAAGUGGUCAUUCCUUCAUGGACUCUGCUUCAGUUUCUGCCCCCAGGUUCCUGCUUUUCUGUACCUUCCCUGACUUCCCUCAGUGACAGAGUGUAAGUGGGACAUGUAAGUCCAAUAACCCCUUACUCCCAAGUCGCUUUUAUCACAGCAAUAUGAAAACCAACCAAACUGGGCUGGAGAGAUGGCUCAGCGGUUAAGAGCACUGACUGCUCUUCCAGAGGUCCUGAGUUCAAUUGCCAGCAACCACGUGGUGACUUACAACCACCUUCAAUGAGAUCUGGUGCCUUCUGCAGGUACAAGACUGUAUACAUAAUAAAUAAAUAUCCCAAAGCUUCCUCCCAGGGACACACUGUGUGUGUGGUUUAAAAAAAAAAAAAGAAAGAAAAGAAAACCAACCAAAUAACAACAAAAAAAACUAACACGAGCCAGGGCGGUGGUGGCGCAUGCCUUUAAUCCCAGCACUUGGGAGGCAGAGGCAGGAGAAUCCUUGUGAGUUCGAGACCAGCCUGGUCUACAAGAGCUAGCCUCCGUAAGGUUCGCAGAGAAACCCUGUCUUGAAAU
rnacentral:lncRNA from 1 species